rnacentral:rRNA from 1 species
CACUCUUAACGGUGGAUCGCUCGGCUCGCGCGUUGACGAAGAACGCAGCUAGCUGCGAGAAUGAAUGUGAAUUGCAGGUCACAUUGAUCAUCGACACUUCAAACACAGCUGCGGCUGUCUUUGCAAUGUCUCGUCCUAAUGGGGCAACU